rnacentral:misc_RNA from 1 species
GAGAAAGAUCGCUUCCAUAGUUGAUCGAACCAGAAGUAUCAUGAUGUAGGCGAUGCUCUACAACUCUCUAUCACAAUUUCAUAGUGUGGCUCAUGAGUUUAAUUCCUCUAUAAUUUGAGCAACCAGCUCGUUAACAAACAUAUAGAUAAAUUUAUUUAUGUUCAAAAUUUGUUUCAGUGGGGGCUUAUAUAAUUCUCCAAACCUGAUGGGAUGGCUUUUGUAGUUUAAGGACGGACAUUGUAAUUAACAUAAUAAUUAUUUUUUUAAAAGGAGUAUUGAUAUAAGUUGUGUUACCUGUUAAAUGCAUCUUUUAGCUGUUCCAUAUAACCCUGUGAUGACACGCUUAUUUAACACUGCCUCCUCUUGAUUUUAUUUAUAGUAGUUCUGCUCUUCGCCACUGCAGGUCCAACUGUGCCCCUUGGUUAGGAGGUUUGUAUAUAGAAUUUUAGAAGGGAAGAAACUUCAGAUGUAGAACUCUAUGGAAGGUAUCGAUUGGUGUGUAAAAUUUU